rnacentral:rRNA from 1 species
AUUGCAGGCUGCAACUCGCCUGCAUGAAGUUGGAAUUGCUAGUAAUCGCGAAUCAGAAUGUCGCGGUGAAUACGUUCCCGGGCCUUGUACACACCGCCCGUCACACCAUGGGAGUCGGAAAUGCCCGAAGUCUGUGACCCAACCUGAGAGGGAGGGAGCAGCCGAAGGCAGGUCUGAUGACUGGGGUGAAGUCGUAACAAGGUAUC